UUAAUAUUGAAGUUUAGAAUAUUUAGCAUUAUCUCUAAAUAUGUUAUUUACAUUUAUAUUUAUCUUAGAUUAGAAAAUCAGAUUAAUUUCAUCUCUAUAUAAAAAAAAAUGUUAUAACUUUGGGAAAUUUGAAAAACUAACCCACAAAAAAACUAUAAUUAAGAAAGUAACAUUACCAAAAAAAUGAGAUGAUAUUCUUUGUAUUUUAUAUAUUAAUCCCAACUUUACCCUCUUUCCUUCUCUCUCUUUCUCUCUUUCCUUCUCUCUUUCCUUCUCUCUCUCCUUCUCUCUCUCUCUCGCCUGUCUCCCUACUUCUUUUUUUUCUCUCUCUUUCUCUCCCUCUCUCUCUCCUUCUCUCUCUCCUUCUCUCUCUCUCCUUCUCUCUCUCCUCUCCGCCUUUCUCCUUACUUCUUUUUUUCUUUCUCUCCAAAUGACCUCUAUGCUUAUUUUUGUUUUUAGUUACAGUUUAUUAAUUACCUUUUUGUGAGAUUUAUUUAGAUUCUAAGCUUUGUUUUUUUUUUUGUCUUUUUUGAAACAUAAUUUUAACAUCAAAAUGCAUCUAUGGUCUGAAACUAAUUUAUCACUUAAUUUUUUUGUUCUUCAUAGUUACAAACUCACCACAUAUCUACAAUAAAUUAAGGAUCAUUAUUAAAUGUUAAUAAAUUAGGGAUCAUUCUUAGAUCUAGAAGCGAUGAAGGGUUUACGAUGGUAGAAAUUCUAAAAGGAAAUAGCCAAUAAAUCGAUUUUGAUUUUGAAAGACUUUUGACAGAUACUAUUCUAUUUUGUGAAUAUACUAUUUACGUAUACCUUGUAUUAUAUACGUUUUAAAAUGAAUUGUUUGUUUUGAUUAAGGAUGUUAAGUGAUUUGAUUAGUGUUUUAUAUUAAAAGCUUUGGGUUCCCUAUAUAUUAUCUUAGGGUUUAGUAUUCUUCCAUCAAAAAGUAUUUAAUUGAUUAUUUGGAUUCAUCAGAACAAACGUUUCUAUUUGAACAAAUAUAUACUAUUCUAUUUUUCUGUGAUGAUAUGUAUAGAACUUGGUACUACUAUUCACUUUUUAAAAAAUUUGUUUCCGAUUUUUAAAAUUCAAAUCAU
rnacentral:sRNA from 1 species